rnacentral:rRNA from 1 species
AGUGAACGCUGGCGGCGUGCUUAAUACAUGCAAGUCGAACGAGAACGGAUUAUAGCUUGCUAUAAUUGUCAGCUAAGUGGCGCACGGGUGAGUAGUGUAUAGGUAAUAUGCCUCUUACUAAGGGAUAACAAAUGGAAACGUUUGCUAAUACCUUAUACUCCUUAUUAACAGAAGUUAAUAAGGGAAAGAUUUAUUGGUAAGAGAUUAGCCUGUAUUGUAUCAGUUAGUUGGUGGGGUAAUGGCUUACCAAGACUAUGACACAUAACUGGUUUGAGAGGAUGAUCAGCCACACUGGAACUGAGACACGGUCCAGACUCCUACGGGAGGCAGCAGUGGGGAAUAUUGCACAAUGGACGAAAGUCUGAUGCAGCAACGCCGCGUGGAGGAUGACACAUUUCGGUGCGUAAACUCCUUUUAUAUGAGAAGAUAAUGACGGUAUUAUAUGAAUAAGCACCGGCUAACUCCGUGCCAGCAGCCGCCGCCG